GCAGGUGUGGCUUUGUGGUAGAGUACUUGUCUAGCAUGCAUGAGGCCCUGGAUUUGAUCCCCAGCCCUGCA
rnacentral:tRNA from 1 species